rfam:Schistosoma mattheei strain Denwood, Zambia genome assembly, scaffold: SMTD_scaffold0004623
AUCCAGCUGACGAGUCCCAAACAGGACGAAAUGUGCAUCCUGGAU